GGUAGGAAGGGCGUUAGAAUGUUUUAAAAGGGGUUGUAAUCUAUUAAAAGGGGUUGGAAUCUAUUAUAAAGGGUUAGAAUGCAUUAAGAAGUGUUGGAACCUAUUGAAAGGGAUUAGAAGGGGUUGUAAGGUGUUAGGUGUUAAAUGGGGUUAGAAGGUGUCUGAAUCUAUUAAAAGGGGGAAUCUAUUAAAAAAAGUUAAAAUGCAUUAAGAAGUGUUGGAACCUAUUGAAAGGGAUUAGGAGGGGUUGUAAGGGGUUAGGUGUCAGGUGUUAAAUGGGGUUAGAAGGUGUUUGAAUCAUUUAAAAGGUGUUAGAAGGUGUCUGAAUCUAUUAAAAGGUGUUAGAAGGUGUUGGAAAGGGCUAGAAGGUGUUAGAAGGAGCUAGAAUCUAUCAAAAGGUGUUAGAAGGUGUUGGAAAGGGCUAGAAGGUGUUAGAAGGAACUAGAAUCUAUUAAAAGGUGUUAGAAGGUGUCGGAAAGGGAUUUAAGAUGUCGGAAGGUGAUUGACAGACAGAUAUGAUACCCUGAGACAUAAUAUAUAGAAACCCCACAUAGACCUCAGCUGCUGGGAUCUCUAUGGCUCAAUGCUAGAGAGUCUGCCUUCCAUCUCAGGGGCCAAGGUUGGAAUCCCAGGCAGCGUUGGCAAAAAGAUUCAUUCUCCUGAGCAGGCAAAUUUAUCGUGAUUUGAAAAGCAACAAAAACAACAACAGACAGAUAGAUACAGAUAGACUGAAAGAUUUACAUAGAGAGAGACACAUAGAUACAUGGUUACAGACAUCCAGAAAGAUAACUAGAUAAAGAGAUAGCAAAUAAGUAAGAAAAUAAAUGCUAAAUAAUGAAAUAAAACUAUAAGAGAGAGA